GACGAACGCUGGCGGCGUGCUUAACACAUGCAAGUCGAACGGUGAAGCGCCUUCCUUUUUGGUGGGUGUGGAUGAGUGGCGAACGGGUGAGUAACACGUGAGUAACCUGCCCCCUUCUUCUGGAUAACCGCAUGAAAGUGUGGCUAAUACGGGAUAUUCUGGGUCUGUCGCAUGAUGGGUCUGGGAAAGAUAUUGUUUCGGUGGGGGAUGGGCUCGCGGCCUAUCAGCUUGUUGGUGGGGUGAUGGCCUACCAAGGCGGUGACGGGCAGCCGGCCUGAGAGGGUGGACGGUCACACUGGGACUGAGACACGGCCCAGACUCCUACGGGAGGCAGCAGUGGGGAAUAUUGCACAAUGGGCGCAAGCCUGAUGCAGCGACGCCGCGGGAGGGAUGGAGGCCUUCGGGUUGUGAACCUCUUUCGCCAGUGAAGCAGGCCUGCCUCGUUUGUGGGUGGGUUGACGGUAGCUGGAGAAGAAGCGCCGGCUAACUACGUG
rnacentral:rRNA from 1 species